GAUGAACGCUGGCGGCGUGCCUAACACAUGCAAGUCGAGCGAAGGGCCGUGAAACCUUCUUCCCAGCUGUUAGCGGCGGACGGGUGAGUAACACGUGGAUAACCCCCGCAUAAGACUGGGAUACCUUCGGGAAACCGGAGCUCUUAUCGGACAAACUUUUGAAUCGCAUGGUUCAAAAGUGAAAGACGGUCGUGCUGUCACUUAUACAUGGACCCGCGCUGCAUUAGCUAGUUGGUAAGGUAACGGCUUACCAAGGCAACGAUGCAUAGCCGACCGGGGAGGGUGAUCGGCCACACUGGAACGGGGACACGGUCCGGACCCCUACGGAGGGAGGCAGGAGGGAAUCUUCGGAAAUGAGGGAAGGCCUGCCGAGCCAACGCCGGUGGGGUAAUGAGGGUUUUCGGUUCGUAAAACUCUGUUAUCAGGAAGAAACGUAUGUGUAAGAAACGGUGGACAGAUUGACGGUACCUAAACAGAAAGCCACGGCUAACUACGUG
rnacentral:rRNA from 1 species